CCGACUCCCAUCUCCUCGCUCUCCCCCGAUCCCCAUCUCCCCCCCUCGUUCCCGUGCUGCCGCCACAUGUUGCUGCCAGGGAGAGGAGCUCCCUGCGUCCGUUUCCUUUGCCGUCUCCACCGGGAGAACCCCCCUCGCCGGAGGCCACUACCGCGACCCUGUCGGACACCAGAGGCUCCCUCCGUUUGGCUCCUUCGCUACGGUCUCUGUCGAACAUCGGCGACCUCGAGCGCCGUGCCUCCCCGCGCCACCACCGGAGGGGACAACUCCGGCGGCCCCAGCGCUCGCGCCAAGCUGAUGUCAAGCCCCGCGCAUCGCCAUCCAGGUCUUCAUGGUGCCCUCGUCUCUGCUCGCGGGAGGAUGAGUACGACCGCUGCUUCGAUCUGCGAUGCGCGAAACCCCUAGGCCUUGCUUCAAUCUGGUUACGUCGAGACCACCGUUGCAACGUUGAUUCCUCUGCCCCGGAGUACCUCAAGUUCGUCUACACAAGACUGCCAAGUACCUCUAUGCACGGAUAUCGCCAAGUACCACGAGGAUACGAGAACAGCAUGUUGCCAAGUUCCACGACACCGCAUAAGUUUCUUCUUGAACAUGUAUGACUAUAACGUGAACGAGUACCAUGACGAUCCUCGAAGAGCUCGGAUUCGUCAAGUUUCACUACCGCCGACUAGUACGACUACCGUCGCAAAAACAAGACCGUCCAGACCCGGACCGACAAGUACCCCAACAUCAUGUGUACAACUACCGUCGACCGUGGAUUCAUCAAGUUCAUAUCCGAAACGAACAUGUACCACUA